rnacentral:lncRNA from 1 species
GUUGUCUCAGAACAUUUCAGGCCUUGGAUGGUCUAGAAGUACCCAUUUGCACUGCCAUUAAUGGUUCUGAAUGCCCCACAUCAGGUCCUAGGAACAGAGAUGAAAACCAAAUCUCAGAAUGGUCUGAAUUAUGUGCCUUGACUUAAAAGAUGAGUUCUCAGUCGUGGCAAACCCAAAGAGAGGCAAUUUUAAUUUGGCAAGCUCUGUACAAAUCCAAUCACCAUUUGGAACUCCAGGAGGAUUGUUCUACCUUGAUGAGUAACAAGAUACAUUGGAAUGUGCUUGGGAUUGUUCUUUCAGCCCUGGCAGAUCAUAAAGGGUGCUCUUCAGGCCUCCCUCAUUCUGCGCCUCAUAGAUACAUCAAGAGUCCUCUUACACUAAAGAGCAAAACUUGAAGCCAUCUCCAGAAUUCUAAUUUUUGUGCAUCAGCAUCUGGAAA